rnacentral:rRNA from 1 species
UGAGUAACACGUAUCCAACCUGCCGUCUACUCUUGGACAGCCUUCUGAAAGGAAGAUUAAUACAAGAUGGCAUCAUGAGUUCACAUGUUCACAUGAUUAAAGGUAUUCCGGUAGACGAUGGGGAUGCGUUCCAUUAGAUAGUAGGCGGGGUAACGGCCCACCUAGUCUUCGAUGGAUAGGGGUUCUGAGAGGAAGGUCCCCCACAUUGGAACUGAGACACGGCCCAA